AAGCGAAACCGCCUCCCGCCGCCCUUAUCGAAGGGACGGGGGCGCGGUCGCCGGGGCGUGGUUGCCCCGGCCUGAUGAGCAGCCAAAC
rnacentral:hammerhead_ribozyme from 2 species